CUUAACACAUGCAAGUCGAGGGGCAGCAUGGUCUUAGCUUGCUAAGGCCGAUGGCGACCGGCGCACGGGUGAGUAACACGUAUCCAACCUGCCGUCUACUCUUGGACAGCCUUCUGAAAGGAAGAUUAAUACAAGAUGGCAUCAUGAGUCCGCAUGUUCACAUGAUUAAAGGUAUUCCGGUAGACGAUGGGGAUGCGUUCCAUUAGAUAGUAGGCGGGGUAACGGCCCACCUAGUCUUCGAUGGAUAGGGGUUCUGAGAGGAAGGUCCCCCACAUUGGAACUGAGACACGGUCCAAACUCCUACGGGAGGCAGCAGUGAGGAAUAUUGGUCAAUGGGCGCAGGCCUGAACCAGCCAAGUAGCGUGAAGGAUGACUGCCCUAUGGGUUGUAAACUUCUUUUAUAAAGGAAUAAAGUCGGGUAUGUAUACCCGUUUGCAUGUACUUUAUGAAUAAGGAUCGGCUAACUCCGUGCCAGCAGCCGCGGUAAUACGGAGGAUCCGAGCGUUAUCCGGAUUUAUUGGGUUUAAAGGGAGCGUAGAUGGAUGUUUAAGUCAGUUGUGAAAGUUUGCGGCUCAACCCGUAAAUUGCAGUUGAUACUGGAUAUCUUGAGUGCAGUUGAGGCAGGCGGAAUUCGUGGUGUAGCGGUGAAAUGCUUAGAUAUCACGAAGAACUCCGAUUGCGAAGGCAGCCUGCUAAGC
rnacentral:rRNA from 1 species